CCGCACCAUUGCCCCUCGUUGGCAACCUGUUGGCUUUUUUUGGCCGAUUCAACAUGCUGAAUAGCACACAGCAGGAGAAACAGAAGUGACUCCCUCUUGGCUUGAGACCAAAACAAACCUGUUACAUAAGCAUCUUCCACUCGGAAAGCCCCAGACGACACCAUCACUCCCACUCACAGUCUCACCUAUGUGCAACAACAAGACUUGAACCUAGGAAAGGUUCCUUGGACCUUGGGAAGGAAUGUUGGAGAACCUGAGAACAAGAAUUUCACAGCCAACGCCACUGUAAUUGUUGUGCAUGACAAAUGAAGACUUGAAACACCAGG